GCCAUUUCGCCAAAGAUUCAUGGUUCCUUUUAACAGAGAAUAAUAUUAGGAACCAAGAUCUAAGUGCUAAGUGGGCUUAUUGCUACUUCAGUGUUGAUGCUUCCAGACUAUCUCAACUGACAGAGAAAAAAAAUGUUCUUCCCUUAAGAGAAGGGGAGCAUGCAGACGGACAGGUGCAGGAGCCAGAAUGAGUGCCCCUGGUCUCCAGCCCCACAGCAGCGUCCAGGAGUGGGUGCCUGCAGCUCCGAAAUCACAAUGGGAUCUGCAGUAAACAGAAUCCUGCUCAGAUAAUUUGAGAAAUUUUUCAAGUAAGAGUAUGAAUGAACGAAUGUCGAGACAUCUAGAGAUUAGCAGCUGUGGGAAGUCAUUGCCAGCUCUAAGCUGAAGAGCAAAGGAGGUAAUAGCACUACAGGAUCUGAAGAGUAAUAGAGCCUUAAGGUAGUGGUCUUCCUCAUUGGAACUGCAGUCAUUGAAGGUAUCAACCACUGACAGACAAUGCUGCCAAAUAUGAUAGGGAGUGGGGAACAAAUACCCCAACCUUCCCUCUUGCCUUGUGAUUGGCAUGCCAUUGCUCCCCAUUUCCUGAACCCAGCAAUCUGAAGCCAAAUGGAAAGAAAGUCAGUAACACAAUCCAAGGGAGUCAGCCUCUCAGAACAGAAAAAAGAACAUGAAAAGACAAAGACUUGAUUGAGGUCAGAAGGCAAAAUAAGAAACCCAACACAUCCAUAUUCCCAACACAAAGGCUUGACCACAAAGAAUUAAUAGCUGGUAAAUUUUGCCUACAGCUAUUUAACAAAAAAUAAAUAUCACUCUAUUUCUAUAUGCAUGGUAAAUUCCUGCAUAUACCAUGCAUAUGGAUUUUCAAAGAUGUAAAAAAUGCAUAAAAUCACAAAUAGGAAGAAACAAUUAUUCCAAAUAUUUACACAUGAAAGUAAGCAUCACUGUGAUGGUUAAUAUUGAGUGUCAACUUGAUUGGAUUGAAGGAUACGAAGUAUUAUUCCUGGGUGUGUCUGUGAGGGGGUUACCAAAGGAGAUUAACACUUGAGUCAAUGGACUAGGAGAGACAGACCCACCCUCAAUCUGGGUGGGCACCGUCUAACCAGCUGCCAGCACAGCUAGGAUAAAAGCAGGCACAGAACAUGAAAGGACUAGUCUGGCUAAGUUAUCUGGGCUCCAUCUUUCUCCUGUGCUGGAGGCUUCCUGCCCUUGAACAUCAGAUCCCAAGUUAUUCAGCUUUUGGACUCGUGCACAUACCUCAGCGAUUUGCCAGGUGUUCUCAGGCCUUCAGCCACAGACUGAAGGCUGCACUGCCGGCUUCUCUACUUUUGAGGUUUUGGGACUUUGACUUGCUUCCUGGCUCCUCAACUUGCAGAUGGCCUAUUAUGGGACCUCACCUUGUGAUUGUGUGGGUCAAUUUCCCUUUAAAACUCCCCUUCAUAUAUUCAUCUAUCCUAUUAGUUUCGUUUCUUUAGAGAACCCUGACUAAUGUAAUCAUUAACUAUGAGUGAACCUCAUUUCAGAUAUUUUUCUAUGGAUAUACACAUAUGGAAAAACAGACAAAGAUAAACUUUUUGUUAAUAAAAAUGAGACUGUACUAUAUAAAGCUAUUAUAGUAAAAUCAAUGGAUGGAUUUAUUUUACUUUAAUUUAUAAGAAUAAAAUAUCUGAAAUAAAACAAAAUAAAGGAGUUCAAAUAAAUGUUUCCUUACCACAGUGCUGUUUUAUAUUUUUAAAUAACCUAAAGUUUAGAAAAUGUUUUACGCAGAUUAAAAGACAUGCAUUGUUAAUGUAAUCAUAGUUUUCCAUUUAAAAAAUCUAUUAACUUUUUGCUACAAACAAGGAAGAUAUUAGAAUGUAGCAUAUUUCCAUCUGUCUUCUGCUUAUAUCCCAACGUUUGUAAAAUAUAUUAUUCUAUUUACAUUAUUCGGGUUUACUUUUUAUAUUGUUACAUUCUGCAAAAAUGUUUAGUUCUAUUUUCAAGGAGAAUAGGUUUUUAUCAGUGUAGGUGUUAUAAGACUGUCUUUACUUGAAUUCUUUGAGUCUUACAUUCCAUAAAUUAUUAGGGUCUUUCAUGUUUUCAAAUGUCUCCAUGCCUUGUUGAUACUUGAACCCUAACUUAGCUGGCUAUACAAUGAUUGGGUCACAUUUCUUUACCUUUUGAACUUUUAGAAGUUGCUUCAUUGUCUUUAGCCACAACAUACUGAUGGCUGUGGAGAAAAUAUGGGACUCAUCUGAUUUGUCUUCUCUGUUUGUAUUUUCUUUCUCUGCUCUAGAUGCCUGAUGAAUGAUACCUUUACCUUGAAAUUUAAUAGCCUGAAAAGGUUGUCUUGAUGUUAGGUAACAUGAAUUAAAAU
rnacentral:lncRNA from 10 species